rnacentral:lncRNA from 1 species
UUCAUGUUUUAUUUUCGUCAUAGAGUCGAUGUCGCUACACAUUAGGACCUAUGUCACGACAUAACAAUUAGUAUACUCCGCUGCAGCUAUCUUCAGGGGUAUGUCGUGACACCCUCAACCUAUGUCACAAAAUCGAAGGCAGUCUUGAGUUUUCUUCAUUCUACUACCUAUGUUACGUCAUCAAGUUAUCCGUGUUGCGACAUACCAACCAACAGCCGUUUAGUGCACCUUCUAAUGGUCUCCUGCACACUCACAAAGUGUGUUAACUCACCCUUAGGCCUCAUUUGAACCCUAUGGUCAAUAAAAGACUCAAUUUAUACAUUUUAUUGAAUGUAAAUAAAACUAUGAAAACUUAACUAAAACAUAACAAAAAUACUUGUAUUCAAGCUCCUUAAAUGUGAAAAAUAGUUUAACCUACUACACCGAAUUACAACAGACCAGUUACCCCCACACUUUAUUUGGCACAUUGUCCCUAAUGUAUGACCAAGAGAUAGGAAAAGAGACUACCCAGUUUAAGCAUUGGUUUCCAUGGAUGUAGUCAGGUUGUCCUCCUCGUGCUAGUUUAGCUCCAAUUGUAGUGUGGCCACUAGUUGGGGCACUUCCAUUGAUUCUGGGAGCCCAUGGUCUUUGAAAUACUCCCUAUGUAUGGCCACUUGUUCAUUUUUCCACUCUACCUGACCGGCUUGAAGGCUGCAGAACCGCUUGUAAAUAAUAUUGUUAAGCACACCUUUUGGUGGACAAGUCAGUUUUUCAGAUUAAAUUGUCGUGCCAUCCCUCUACACAUUAAUGUGAUCAGGUGCUGGUAUGAAAGUCCUCGUAUGUGCCCUCUAGCACAUUACCGUAUGUUUGCGAGGAUCUGGUCUCUCACGCUAAUUUGUCAACCCUGCAAGAUAGCGUACAAGAAAAGAGCAUGAUCACUGGUAACUUUUGUGAUGUGUUGAGCCGAAAAAAAUUUGCAUAAAUAAAAUACAUCCACAUCUUGGCUUCCAAGGUCAUAAUUGAAUGCUGAAAUCAAAAUGGCUCCCGAGUUAUCAACUUUCAAGUCUAGGUGCCUUAACC